GCCUUCGUGGUGUAAUGGUCAGUACGCUCGACGUGUAACCGAGAGAGAGGUCCGUGGUUCGAUUCCCGACGAAGGCC
rnacentral:tRNA from 1 species